UAUAUAUAUAUAUAUAUAAAUAUAUAUAUAUAUAUAUAUAUAUUAUGAAUUUGUAAUAUUUCCAAUUUAAACAAGAUUCGUUCGUCCGAUUUAAGGAUUUUCCCGGAGUCGAAACUAUUCGUUUAUUUGCAGAUUACAGUGUUAGCAUUCGUCCUUCUCUUCCUCUUUCUCCUUUUACUUCUCCUCCUCUUCCUCCUACUUCUCCUCCUCCUCCUCUUCGUCCUUCGACAACUGUGCCAUCAGUGAUUACUCAACUCGAGGAUCAUUAAUCUCUUUCCCGUUGUAUCAAGCGAUGGCAACACUUUCGCGUCGAUGCUUAUCCAUCGUUAAUGAUAUAUUAUCAAGCGAACCGGAAGGCUCGUCGAUAUUACGAAAGCGACAAUUAAUGGGGUUUUAUAUCGAUCGAUAUUACGCUUGAACGCUCUCAUUCCAUCAAUUUCCAGAAAUAUCGACUCGUUUCACUUGUAAAUCAUCGAAUUCAAUAGUUCAUUUUUCUCUCUUUUUUCGUUUUUCAAAUGCAUAGGAAUGGUAACUAUUUCUUUCUCUCUCUCUUUCUCUUUCUCUUCAAUAAUUACAAACAUUUUAUCAACCUAUUAAGAAUUAUCAGAGAAAAUUUUUACAACUAAUAGACCAACGAUUUUUAUUAUUUUCUUUUCCGACUAUUUUUUCUAACGAUUUUCUUUGCCACGCAUUUCGUGCUUGCUUGAUAUACACUUGAUACACACACACGCGCAUAUACUAAAUAUACAUCCACACAUAUGCAGAACACGUAAAUGGUAUAUGGUAGUUAAGUACAUAAAUAAUACAUAAAAUCAAUCAAUCGAUACUUCUCGUUUCUGUCGAAUCGUUAGGGAAUUAGAUAUUAUUUCCAGCAUCUCUCAUUAUUUUCAUUAUCAUGAAUUUCUAUCGUUUUCUAUUCAUUUUUAAUACGUUUUACUCGUCUUAAUAAUUUUAUUCAUAUUUCUCUUUUUUUAUUAUACGUAUACUUGUGUAUAUAUAUAUGUAUGGGUGGGUGGGUGGGUGUAUAUGUAUAAAGCGAAGUUUAUCGACGGAUCGAACUUUUCUUUCUCUAUUUUUUUUUCUCUUUCCUGUUUUCCACGGUAUAAGAAAGAGGAUGACGUCUCAGAACGUGGCUUGGACAUUUCCAAUGGAAAACUCCUUCAAGUCCUUCUGAGAAGCUUACACCUUCCCCCACUCCUCCGUCUUUCUUCUUUCCCUCUAACACUUCUCUCUCUUUCUCUCUCUCUCUCUCUUGAGAAUUCUUCCCCGACUAUUUAAUGACGAAGUGACCAAUACAGCCGUCGUAUCUCAUGAACCCUUUUAAGCGAAGGACAGUUUAUAGUCUCUUUAUAUUUGCCCUCGAAAUACCUUAUAUUUCUUUUUCUUCCUGUUUUUCUUCUUCUUUUCCGUUUGUUUUAUUUAUUUUAUUUAUUUAUUUGUCCUUUCUUUCUUUCUUACUUUAAUCGCCAUUAAUGAAACUAAAUAGUCGGUACCUUGUAAAAAUUAGAGUGCAAAUUAUACCACUCAAAAAAGCAUUAUGAACUUUGUCUCGUCCCUUGGUGUAUAUAAGGAAAGAGAAUCGGUCGACUCUCGAUUUAUACAACGGAUUCUAUUCCGGUAUUUGCAAGUGUACCCGCGUAAUUAAAUAGGUCCUCAUUAGUAAUGGGGAGUAAUUAAAAGAAAUACGACACGUGGACGUCGUUAAGAGACGAAUUACGUCACAUGGACAAGAAAAGCUAUCUUUCUCAUUAAUCGACGGGUUCGUAGAAUUUAUAAAAAAAAUAAAAAGAACAAAAAAAAAUUAUCUGGUUAAAUUAAUUAAGAUCGUAAAGAAAAAGGAAAAAAGAAAGGGAAAAGAAAAAAUAAUAGUGCCACCGUUCGUUCGGAGUCUUAUAAAAACCUAACUCUAUAUGAUACGAUCGACUUCGAUUUUCUUUUUCAUUUUAAUCUUCUACUUUGGCUGGCUGAGAAUCACUGGCAAGGCCGACGUUUCACGACGUAUUCACGACAGAAAUAAAUACGGAGUGAAAAGGGCUUGGGUUCUUUUCACGGAAGAAUAUAAUUGCCAGAAAAAUAAACGAUUGCAAAGUCUGUUUGCUCGCGCCUGCCACCCCACUUCUUUUUCCUCUCUUUCUCUCCUUCUCUCUCUCUCUUUCUCACACUAUCACUCUGUCGUUCCUACCGCUCUCCUUCCUUCUCUCACCACAAAAUCUCUUCCCACUGCCUUUUCCGUCUCUUUUCAACAUCCUUCAGUAGCUACACGCCCUCUGUCUCCAACCCAACCUCUUUAGUUACCUUCGCUCUAUCUAUCUCUAUCUUUAUCUUUCUCUCUCUCAUUCUUUCUCUUCGACUCGUACCCUCUACCGUUCUUUCCACUCUCUUUCUCUCUCUCUUUCUCUCUUUCUCUCUCUCUCUCUCUCUCUCUCUCUCUCUCUCCUUCUCUUUCUAUCUUCUUCGACUCCCACUCUCCAGCACGACUUCGUGGAAAAGCUCACUCGACUCGCGGGUCAACGAAUUCGCAAUUACGAUCUUUCACGUCGACGUGACUGCUUUCUCUCUCUCUCUCUCUCUCUCUCUCUCUUUCUCUGUUCAUCUCAUUCUCUUUCUAUCUUUCAACUUUGGAAUCCUCCAAGUUACCCCUUCCUAGUUCUCCCUUACUUCGUUCACAACCACUAUAUUCUUCCUUUUCUUCUUCUUUCUCCUUUCCUUUUCGUUUCUUCAUACGUUUUCUCUCUUUAUUUUCAUGAUUCUCUUUUCUUCUCUCUCUGUCUCUCUCUCUCUCUCUCUUUCUUUGCAUUACUAUCUGAUCAGUCUCGGUUUAAAAAGUAUUUACUACUUCGUUCCUCCUCUCUUUCCCUUUUCACAGUCACUUCACAUUUAUUUCGAUUUUUCUAUAUCUCCCUUUUAACUCUCUCAUCUCCUCACGUCACAUUCGCGCACUAGUUUAUAUCCACUUUUCUUCACAUUUUAUUUCUACCAUUCUCGUGUAUGUCGUGUCGUUGUCCUCGGGGAGGCCAUAACGAGAUUUUCAAGAUCUAAAAGAGGUUUCGUAAUCGUCUUAGACUAGCAUAAGUCGCUUUUCUAUUCUCCAUUUUACACGUGCUAUACACGAAGAUGUUGGUAGUCUUCGCAGUCGAACGAAACUAUGAAUUAGAACAUUGUCACCUUACUAAACUCAUUUUUAUUUCUCAUCCUCAUAACUAUUAUCAUCGUCAGAUAUAUAUAUAUAUAUAUAUAAUUUUCUUUACUAUUUUUAUUGUCCUGUGUAAAAUAAAAAAUGAUAAUAAUGCUAAACGAAGCUUGUAUUCUUCGUCAUCAAUAAGUAGAUUAAAAAAAAAAGACAAAUAAAGAAAAACGAUUUUCAACAAAAUAAUUAUACAUCGUUCGUAGUUCGACGUAAUCUAUUAUAUAUCUAUUCUUGCAUGAGUAAAAAAUUUUUUUCGCUCGCUUUCCUCCCCGUUACCAAUCCCCCUCUCCCGCCCCUCUCCCCUUUAUGCCACUGGCAAACCCCUAACGACAUUAGAAGUCUAGACGCUAUACUUUUGAAGUAGGUAUAUCUCAAAAUCACGAGGAAGCACUUUUCUCGUCUCUUUGAACGACUACUCCCGCCCUUCUUUCGAUUUACUCUGCCACAGGACUUUCGUGCACAUACACACAUACAUAUACACAAGCGCAUAUAUAUGUGUGUACGUCCUGUCUUCUCUUGAAUAUCUCGUGCAUCUUUGCGAAGAAAGGUUCGUAUUUUUGGUAGCGAGGAGAGGUAGUAGAGGAUGGGAGAAACGGAAGAGAAAUAGGAGGAGGGGGAAAAAGAAAAGAGAAAGUAGAGGAAAAAGAAGAAGAAGUAGAAAAAAAAGGAAAAGAGAGCAAAAGCCUGGGAUAGUACUUUUGCAUUGUUGCGUCAUUUCUCUCCUUUCGUCACAGCACUCCUGCGUGCCACGACGCCUCGUCGUACGUGCGUGAGUGAAUGAGCUAGCAGUGCGCGGGGUGGGGGUGGAGUGUGGAGAGUGGGUUGUACGGAAUGAGUUAGAGGGUGGGAGCGUAUGAACUCCCUCGCGUGAGCCUCGCCACGUCUUUGCUACACUCGUACCGCCACAGGAACCAUUGGCGUCGAGCUCGUUCCUAGUGAGACGUUAAAUUUUUGAUUUACAAUUUAUAUUUUCUUUUCUCUUCUCGUUUUCUUUUCUUUUUUUGUCGUAACAACAGGGUAAGUCUUCAUCAGCAUUGAAUUAGAAUUGUGUAUGUGUAUAUAAUUAAUUGAGAAGUACAAGUAGAAAAGAUUAUUAUCCUUCGAAUUAAUACAUUGGUAAAUAUUCAAUGCGUUCGUUCCUCUUUUCAAUUCUAUAGGCAUAUGUACUUUCGAGUUCUUCGUCUAGUUUUCAUCCCCUAAAGUAAGAGAUUUAAGAUUCCGUCGUUUGAUCCGUAAUAUAGCAUAGCUAUAGCGAUGUUCUUUACGUGCGUCGAGGGGAAAGAGCUUCGAUAUUUUCAACCCUCUGAAAAGGAGAGGGCAAAAGAAAUUUAGGCUUCAUUAAUUGUAGCGGACUUAUGUAACGCCUCAUGGAGGUGCUCAUAGGAGGUACCUAUCGAAAUGACUAUAAAAGGAAUAUUUCGUUACUACAAUGGAUUCCUAUGGACCCAAUCUCUGGAGAUACCUACAAUUUGGAAUCAUCAACAAGUGAAGAUAACAAUGAAACGAAAAUUCAAUUAAAACGAGCGUAACAACCCAACACACUGAAAUGUUCAACCCUUACCUGGGAUCAUCAUCUACCGAAGUUAUUGAAGAAAUCAAAUAAAAGGACACUGAAUACCACAUCUACAGCAGAAACACAACACUAUAAUUUAUUAAGAUAACUGAAUUAAAUUGUAUUAAAUUGUUCUAAAAUAAUUGUAUUGUAAUUUAUUAAAAUGCUGAUAUAAAAUAACAUUGUCAGUUUUAAUGUAAAUGUUCUGAAAAAAAAUAAAUAUUAAUCAAAUGGAAAAAAGUGUACUGUAAUUGAUUUACCAUUCCUCCCACUCUCUCCGAAUACCUCCUACUUUCACACACAUACGUUCGACAUA